GCCCUCGUCGUUCAACGGAUAGGACACUAGAUUGCGGAUCUAGUAAUUGAAGUUCGAUUCUUCACGAGGGCACCA
rnacentral:tRNA from 8 species